UGGGGAAUUUUGUGCAAUGGGGGAAACCCUGGCACAGCGACGCCGCGUGAGUGAAGAGGGCCUUCGGGUUGUAAAGCUCUGUGACUAGGGAAUAAUGUAUUAUGGUCUAAUAGGCCGUAGUAUUGAAGGUACCUAGAGAGGAAGCAUCGGCUAACUACGUGCCAGCAGCCGUGGUAAUACGUAGGAUGCAAGCGUUGUUCGGAAUCAUUGGGCGUAAAGGGUGAGUAGGCGGUAUUAUAAGUUACGUGUGAAAGACCAGUGCUCAACAUUGGAAGUGCACGUAAGACUGUAAUGCUAGAGUAUGGGAGAGGGAAGCGGAAUUCCUGGUGUAGAGGUGAAAUUCGUAGAUAUCAGGAGGAACAUCGGAGGCGAAGGCGGCUUCCUGGCCCUGUCUGACGCUGAGGCACGAAAGCGUGGGUAGCAAACAGG
rnacentral:rRNA from 1 species